rnacentral:rRNA from 1 species
GAUGAACGCUAGCGGCAGGCUUAAUACAUGCAAGUCGAGGGGGCAGCAUGGGGUGUAGCAAUACACUCUGAUGGCGACCGGCAAACGGGUGCGGAACACGUACGCAACUUACCCAAAACUGGGGGAUAGCCCGGGGAAACCCGGAUUAAUACCUCGUACCAUUAUAAAGUGGCCUCAUUUUAUAAUUAUAGCUCCGGCGGUUUUGGAUGGGCGUGCGGCUGAUUAGGUAGUUGGCGGGGUAANGGCCUACCAAGCCUACGAUCAGUAACUGGUGUGAGAGCACGACCAGUCACACGGGCACUGAGACACGGGCCCGACUCCUACGGGAGGCAGCAGGUGGGGAAUCUUGCGCAAGUGGGCGAAAGCCUGACGCAGCGACGCCGCGUGAGGGAUGACGG